GGGUCAGUAGGUUGGUCGUGCCACCGGUACGUACUGGUCUCACUGAUUCCUCCUUCCUGAAGAACCGGAAUGCCAUUAAUUUGGUGUUGCGGGGAAACAGGACUGUUACUUUGAAAAAAUUAGAGUGUUUAAAGCAAGCUAACGCUUGAAUACAUUAGCAUGGGAUAAUGAAAUAGGACGAUCGAUCCUAUUUUGUUGGUUUCUAGGAUUGAGGUA
rnacentral:rRNA from 1 species